rnacentral:tRNA from 2 species
GUCCCUGUCGUCUAGUUCGGUCAAGGACUCCAGCCUUUCAAGCUGGAAACUCGGGUUCAAAUCCCGGCGGGGACA